ACCUGUGUCAGUUUCUUUCUUACCUCGACUGGGCGUUUUGGCUGUUGGUGACGGUGAUCCGGCGUUGUGGUGUGCUGAUGCGAAUGCUGUCACAGCUGUUAUGGCCUGCAGCGCAACAGUUUAGCCGGUGGUUAAUACCCCUAAACCUGCAGCGUCACCAGGCGGCGUCCUGUAUGCACGCGACAUUGCUCUCGGUCCGUGUGAGCGAAUCAUUGCUGUGCGGGCUGUCUCGAUCUGGCCUGUGGCUGAUUACGUGUGUGCGCUGGGGAACCGUGGGGUGAUCUGCUGCACUGCUGCCUCGGCGGGGGUUUGAACGGCGGUUCGGUCUGUUUUUUUUCGUGCCUUGGCUUUGGGUGUCGCUCUCUCUCCCCCUGUGGGUUUGCCCUUGGCCUGGUCGGCCCAGUUCCGGCUGUGUCUUAGCUCUAAGCGGGCUGCCGCUUCUUUUUGUUGGUCGGGUCUAGUUAUUGUAUAUUUAGUUUAUACAGUUGGUGUGUGUGUGUGUGUGUGUGUGUGUGUGUGUGUGUGUGUGUGUGUGUGUGUGUGUGUGUGUGUGUGUGUGUGUGUGUUUUCAAUUUUGGUUGGUUUGAAUUAAAUGAUUUGCACGUUUUGAUUCAUUUUGGUGUGUUUUGCUUUAUCCUUUUAGCCACUGUGUAUUUUAAAUAGUAUAUUAACUUAGGCUUAACUUAUUAUUUUAUAAUUUUAUUCAGUAAUGGCAUGCCUUCUUAAUCAGUAUAUGUAGUUGGUAUGGUUUCUUUUUUUUAAGUUACUUUUGGUUUGGUUGUUUCUAAUUAGUACUUAAUAAAAUUAUCUGUUUAAAUGUGAAA